AAUUCAUAACCGGAGCAGGGAGCUUUAUCUGAAUGAUAAAGCUUAAAAGAGAAGCCGGUGCGAGUCCGGCGCGGUCCCGCCACUGUAAUGGGUAGGAGCCUCACACUAUGUCACUGGGACAGGAUAUUCCCGGGAAGACGUGAGGUUUACGAUGAUCCUAAGCCAGGAAAACUGCCUUGUUCUUUAUUGCCAC
rnacentral:ncRNA from 2 species